UACGUAGGGUGCGAGCGUUAAUCGGAAUUACUGGGCGUAAAGGGUGCGCAGGCGGCGUCGCAAGUCAGGCGUGAAAUCCCCGGGCUCAACCUGGGAACUGCGUCUGAUACUGGAUGGCUUGAAUCCGGGAGAGGGAUGCAGAAUUCCACGUGUAGCAGUGAAAUGCGUAGAGAUGUGGAGGAACACCGAUGGCGAAGGCAGCCCCCUGGGUUAACACUGACGCUCAGGCACGAAAGCGUGGGGAGCAAACAGG
rnacentral:rRNA from 1 species